UACAGAGGAGCCAAGCGUUGUCCGGAUUGACUGGGCGUAAAGCGCACGCAGGCGGCUGUGCACGUGGGGUGUGAAAGCUGGCGGCUUAACUGCCAGACGCCACCUCAUACGGCACGGCUCGAGCCCGUGAGAGGUCCACGGAAUUGCCGGUGUAGUGGUGAAAUGCGUAGAGAUCGGCAGGAACACCCAGGGGGAAACCAGUGGACUGGCACGGUGCUGACGCUCAGGUGCGAAAGCGUGGGGAGCGAACCGG
rnacentral:rRNA from 1 species